AGCGAACGCUGGCGGCAGGCCUAACACAUGCAAGUCGAACGAACCUUUCGGGGUUAGUGGCGGACGGGUGAGUAACACGUGGGAACGUGCCUUUAGGUUCGGAAUAACUCAGGGAAACUUGUGCUAAUACCGAAUGUGCCCUUCGGGGGAAAGAUUUAUCGCCUUUAGAGCGGCCCGCGUCUGAUUAGCUAGUUGGUUGAGGUAAUGGCUCACCAAGGCGACGAUCAGUAGCUGGUAUGAGAGGAUGAUCAGCGACAUUGGGACUGAGACACGGCCCAAACUCCUACGGGAGGCAGCAGUGGGGAAUCUUGCGCAAUGGGCGAAAGCCUGACGCAGCCAUGCCGCGUGAAUGAUGAAGGUCUUAGGAUUGUAAAAUUCUUUCACCGGGGACGAUAAUGACGGUACCCGGAGAAGAAGCCCCGGCUAACUUCGUG
rnacentral:rRNA from 1 species